rnacentral:rRNA from 1 species
AUGAAAUCACUACAACGCCUGGGUUGGUUUGACACGCGUUACACCUCACUCGACAGUAUCAAGGGCCUAGGAGAGCUCACCAAUCUGAGUACUUUAUCUCUCAUAACCAGUUUAUCUGAAGAUGUGGAUAUGGAUGUUCUAAACGCUUCUUUGGGAAAACUUUGUAACCUCGAGUUUCUGCACAUAUAUUCACCUUGUUCUUGGAUACCUGAGGCAAUAACGCUGUUGCCUCCUCCCCCCAACCUUGUGAAACUCAAGUUCAAUAAAAGCUCCCACGUCCCUAACUGGAUUGGGGAACUCCAUAACCUCCAGAUCUUAGAUCUCAUUGUUGAGAAGCUGGACAACGAUGUUUUUGGUGUUCUUGCAGAGUUACCCGCCCUCAUCGACCUACGUUUACAGUUUGGUGCCCUGGAAGAAACAAUUACCAUCGAUGGGGCAGCAUUCGCAAUCCUGAAGCGGUUUGAAAUCAGCUCGAGUAUCAUGCCACGCUUGGCCUUCCAAGCUAGGGCAAUGCCAAAGCUCCAGAGCCUCUAUCUAUAUUUGAACGCCAGUGGGUGGAAGAAGGAUGAGAAUGCUCCACCUACAGGUAUCGAGCACUUGUUAGCACUUGAAAUAAUCGAUGUACAAAUAUGGCAGUAUAAGCAUCUAAAGAGAAGUGCGGAGUCAGCCAUUAGGAGGGCUAUCAACAUGCAUCCCAGCCAUGCUCACAUUACAAUCAAUAUCAAAUUGUACUGA